AAAGUAGGUAACUCGCUACUAUCGUUAAGAAUACAUCAAAUAUGUUCUGGAGUGACUCUUACUGAACUUUAUUCUAAGACUGAAUGAAUAGUUGAAAGUUACGACUUGUGUUUCUCCAUUUUUAUAUAAAUUGGGUUAUAUCGUGUUAAUAGGACAAUUUUACGUUUCUAAAAUAUUUUUCCAGAAAAUUUUUAGACACCAGAAGAAAUGGUCAUCGUCCUAUGCUGUUCCAGAAAAUUUAAAUGGCACAAGAAGGCUUUUGGAUUGCGGCUUCCCUUCCAUCAAAAUACCUUAAUUCUGGUGUGUCCACUUCUCAUCCUUCGACGUAACGUGCUGAUGAGUCAUUUAUAUCCUCUGCCUAACGUAAGUGGUCUUUGAACUCGAACACUUCCUGUAAAGUGAACCAGAGCAGUAAAGUAGAGAAGAUGAAGAUUCAUGAACAUGAACUAUUUCUUUUUGUAAGGUAUCUGUACUGAAACUGUAAAGGAUUCUUGGUGUCUGUAUAAUGAGGGUGUUAAAAGUAACGAUACGAAAAUUGGGAAUUUAGGAGUGAUUUAAUGUACUAACUUCUGUUUUCGAAAGGAGUGUGAUGUAGCAAACUAUUUUAUUUUGUUAUGUUUUUGUUUUUUACAGGUAACUUAUUCUUUCUAUCGUUUAGUUUAUCUGUAAAUUUUCAGUUUACACUUAAACGCUAACUCACCUCCUAGCUAAUCGCAUUAACUUUCAGAUUCUACGAGUUAUCAGACUUACACCAGUUUCCCAUAUCGGUGACGUACAGAUAUUUAACAUUGAUAAAUAGUAUGUAAAUAAUGAUCACAUGAAUUAAUCUGUUCUAACUAGUCAUUUAAUUAUUGCAGCUUAGCUUGUCUUUGAACUCGAGGAUUUCCCGUAACCUUAGCCGGAAAGUAGAGAAGGUGAAGAUUGAAGAACAUGAACGAGUUUUCUUUGUAAGGUAUAUGUACCUAAACUGGGCAGGAUUCAUGAUGUCAGUAUAACGUGGUCGUUAAAAAUAAGGAUACGAAAAUUGGGAAUUUAGGAGUGAUUAAUGUAAUCACUUUUUCGAAAGAGCAAAGAAUGUGAGUUUAAGGUAUCAAAGAAGGACUUAUUGGAGACAACUAACAAAAUAUCCAACUGUUGAUGAACGAACAGAACUAUCUAGAGAUGUUUUACAGAAAGCAAUAUUAAACAUUGAAAAGUAAGUCUCUCUUUUGUCACAAUUAAAAAA